rnacentral:piRNA from 1 species
UAAGGUACUUUAGACAAGGGAGA